rnacentral:rRNA from 1 species
AACGAACGCUGGCGGCAGGUUUAACACAUGCAAGUCGAGCGCUCCUCCCUUUUCUUUGUUUACGGGUUCUUCCCUCUUUGGAAUCUACCCAUCUCUACGGAAUAACGCAUGGAAAUGUUUUCUAAUACCGUAUACGUCCCUCGGGAUUUUUAUGUAUCGGAGAUGGAUGAGCCCGCGUUGGUGUUGCUAGUUGGUGGGGUAAAGGCCUACCAAGGCGACGAUCCAUAGCUGGUCUGAGAGGAUGAUCAGCCACACUGGGACUGAGACACGGCCCAGACUCCUACGGGAGGCAGCAGUGGGGAAUAUUGGACAAUGGGCGCAAGCCUGAUCCAGCCAUGCCGCGUGAGUGAUGAAGGCCCUAGGGUUGUAAAGCUCUUUCACCGGUGAAGAUAAUGACGGUAACCGGAGAAGAAGCCCCGGCUAACUUCGUGCCAGCCGCCGCCGUAAAAC